AAAAACAAAAGAAGAAAAUUGAACCGUACUA
rnacentral:sRNA from 1 species